rnacentral:pre_miRNA from 1 species
AGGAGGAACAACAACAGUGGCUGCGGCCAGCUUUGGAGCCCUGGAUUCAGCUCCCACAGUAAUUAAGGAGCUCUCAGUCCGCAGGGGCCUGGAUGCCCCGGGGGCGG